UUUUUUUGUCUAUGCCAUUUGGAAAGUUCCUUCUAGUCUAUUUUUGAGCUCACCAAUUAAAGGUGCUUGAAGAGGCUGUAUAGAGCUAAUAAAGUGAUUAUAUUUGGUCUUGUUCUGCGGUAAUCAAGUCCAUUAUGCCAUCACUUGACACGGCACAACAAGGGGGCUGAGCGAUCAGUUCAGUUCUGGGAACAUUCUUUAAUAAACAAAGUUGAUUUGCAUGACAAUGAUUGAAUGGUAAUCUCAAUUUGAGAUUAUUAAAGGUGGUGGCAGCAUGGUCAGUGAUAAGGAAAAGCC
rnacentral:misc_RNA from 1 species